rnacentral:rRNA from 1 species
GUGUCAGCCGCCGCGGUAAUACAGAGGUCCCAAGCGUUGUUCGGAUUCACUGGGCGUAAAGGGUGCGUAGGUGGCGGGGUAAGUUCGAUGUGAAAGCUUCGAGCUCAACUCGGAAAUGGCAUUGAAUACUAUCCUGCUGGAGGGUCGGAGGGGAGACUGGAAUUCUCGGUGUAGCAGUGAAAUGCGUAGAUAUCGAGAGGAACACCAGUGGCGAAGGCGAGUCUCUGGACGACUCCUGACACUGAGGCACGAAAGCUAGGGGAGCAAACAGGAUUAGAAACCCUCGUAGUCC